UAAAGAGCUCGUAGGUGGUUUGUCGCGUUGUUCGUGAAAUCUCACGGCUUAACUGUGAGCGUGCGGGCGAUACGGGCAGACUUGAGUACUGCAGGGGAGACUGGAAUUCCUGGUGUAGCGGUGGAAUGCGCAGAUAUCAGGAGGAACACCGGUGGCGAAGGCGGGUCUCUGGGCAGUAACUGACGCUGAGGAGCGAAAGCGUGGGGAGCGAACAGGAUUAGAUACCCUGGUAGUCCACGCCGUAAACGGUGGGUACUAGGUGUGGGUUUCCUUCCUUGGGAUCCGUGCCGUAGCUAACGCAUUAAGUACCCCGCCUGGGGAGUACGGCCGCAAGGCUAAAACUCAAAGAAAUUGACGGGGGCCCGCACAAGCGGCGGAGCAUGUGGAUUAAUUCGAUGCAACGCGAAGAACCUUACCUGGGUUUGACAUGCACAGGACGCCGGCAGAGAUGUCGGUUCCCUUGUGGCCUGUGUGCAGGUGGUGCAUGGCUGUCGUCAGCUCGUGUCGUGAGAUGUUGGGUUAAGUCCCGCAACGAGCGCAACCCUUGUCUCAUGUUGCCAGCGGGUAAUGCCGGGGACUCGUGAGAGACUGCCGGGGUCAACUCGGAGGAAGGUGGGGAUGACGUCAAGUCAUCAUGCCCCUUAUGUCCAGGGCUUCACACAUGCUACAAUGGCCGGUACAAAGGGCUGCGAUGCCGCGAGGUUAAGCGAAUCCUUUUAAAGCCGGUCUCAGUUCGGAUCGGGGUCUGCAACUCGACCCCGUGAAGUCGGAGUCGCUAGUAAUCG
rnacentral:rRNA from 1 species